rnacentral:rRNA from 1 species
GACGAACGCUGGCGGCGUGCUUAACACAUGCAAGUCGAACGCUGAAGACCUGGCUUUUGUUGGGUUGGAUGAGUGGCGAACGGGUGAGUAACACGUGAGUAACCUGCCCUCUUCUUUGGGAUAACGCCCGGAAACGGGUGCUAAUACUGGAUAUUCACUGAUCUUCGCAUGGGGGUUGGUGGAAAGGUUUGUUCUGGUGGGGGAUGGGCUCGCGGCCUAUCUGCUUGUUGGUGGGGUGAUGGCCUACCAAGGCUUUGACGGGUAGCCGGCCUGAGAGGGUGACCGGUCACAUUGGGACUGAGAUACGGCCCAGACUCCUACGGGAGGCAGCAGUGGGGAAUAUUGCACAAUGGGCGAAAGCCUGAUGCAGCGACGCCGCGUGAGGGAUGGAGGCCUUCGGGUUGUAAACCUCUUUCGCUCAUGGUCAAGCCGCAACUGUGGGUUGUGGUGAGGGUAGUGGGUAAAGAAGCGCCGGCUAACUACGUG